GUGUUUCUUAGAAAGAAGAGAUGGUUGGCAUCUCCCCUGACAAGGAUGGGAUCAACCUUUAGGUUUCCCUGUUAACACACCGGGGUCUAUCAGAUAAGGCUAAUUAAAAAAUGUUU
rnacentral:ncRNA from 1 species